rnacentral:rRNA from 1 species
UACGUAGGGGGCUAGCGUUGUCCGGAAUCAUUGGGCGUAAAGCGCGCGUAGGCGGCCAGAUAAGUCCGGUGUGAAAGUCACAGGCUCAACCUGUGAAUGCCGCUGGAAACUGUCGUGGCUUGAGUCCGGAAGGGGCGAGUGGAAUUCCUGGUGUAGCGGUGAAAUGCGCAGAUAUCAGGAAGAACGACCCGCUGGCGGAAGGCGGCUCUCUGGGACGGUACUGACGCUGAGACGCGAAAGCGUGGGGAGCGA